UACGGGGGGGGCAAGCGUUGUUCGGAAUUACUGGGCGUAAAGGGCUCGUAGGCGGCCAACUAAGUCAUACGUGAAAUCCCUCGGCUUAACCGGGGAACUGCGUCUGAUACUGGAUGGCUUGAGUUCGGGAGAGGGAUGCGGAAUUCCAGGUGUAGCGGUGAAAUGCGUAGAUAUCUGGAGGAAUACCGGUGGCGAAGGCGGCAUCCUGGACCGGCAUUGACGCUGAGUGAGCGAAAGCCAGGGGAGCAAACGGG
rnacentral:rRNA from 1 species